rnacentral:rRNA from 1 species
GACGAACGCUGGCGGCGUGCUUAACACAUGCAAGUCGAACGGAAAGGCCCUGCUUUUGUGGGGUGCUCGAGUGGCGAACGGGUGAGUAACACGUGAGUAACCUGCCCUUGACUUUGGGAUAACUUCAGGAAACUGGGGCUAAUACCGGAUAGGAGCUCCUGCUGCAUGGUGGGGGUUGGAAAGUUUCGGCGGUUGGGGAUGGACUCGCGGCUUAUCAGCUUGUUGGUGGGGUAGUGGCUUACCAAGGCUUUGACGGGUAGCCGGCCUGAGAGGGUGACCGGCCUCAUUGGGACUGAGGUACGGGCCAGACUCCUACGGGAGGCAGGAGUGGGGAAUAUUGCACAAUGGGGCGAAGGCUGAUGCAGCAACGGCGCGUGGGGGAUUACGGCCUUCGGGUUGGAAACCGCUUUCGCCUGUGACGAAGCGUGAGUGACGGUAAUGGGUAAAGAAGCACCCGCUAACUACGUG